rnacentral:lncRNA from 1 species
AAACAUAUGACUGACUGAAUUUGGCCUAUGGGCUAUAGUUUGCCACCCCCAAUCUAAAGCCUAUAGCUAUAAGGUCCUUUAUCAAACUUCAGAUAGAUCUGAAAGUGUGCCACAUAGACCCUGUCUACUAGACAGACAGGUUUCUAAGGCUCUUGAAACCAUUGUUCCACAGCAUACUGAGUUUCAGGUAAGCCAUAGAGAGGUCUAUCACAAGGAAAUCACUGGGCAUGGAUUUUGUCCAAUAGAGUUAAUCUCAACAAGAUUAAAAGAAAGACUACAGUUUUUUGAAUAUUGUAUUGGUGAAAGCAUGAUCAGCUUGGACUGAAGGGGACAGAAAAGGUUCACCAUUAAACAAAACAAAAUACCACAAAAUAUUCAGAACCUCGGAACUUCUAUUGGCAGGAUAUAAUGUGUGGCGUUGCAAUGUUUGUAUCUCAGGAAGAAAACAUCCCAUCCAGUCCACAAAUAGCUAUCACAUUGAAACAAGCCAAAGAGUCAUCGUGAUCAUAGCUAUCAAAAGAAGUAUUAAAAGGAUAGUAUGGAAUUCAACCCAGCAUGACCACAGAAGUGGGACGCUCAGUCAGCCACGCCUGUAUUGUGUUCAACCACGUGAGCUAAGAGCUCUAACUACUACGGCCAUAGUUUCAAAUCACCUGUCAUGAUGAGGUGCCAGAUUUCUUUACUUUCUGGUUGAUUCAGAGACAGAAAGUAUUUUCAUUAAAGAUCUUGG